AGGGCAGUAGCUCCAAUUGGUAGAGCAACGGACUCCAAAUCCGUUUGUUGUGGGUUCGAAUCCCUCCUGCCCUGCCA
rnacentral:tRNA from 1 species